GGGCAAGCAUUGGAUCCAGAGUGGGAAAGGAAGAGGUGGUUGUGUGGAGAUGAGUCCUGCCUCCCUCUGCCACUGCCUCAGUAUUUUGAAUGAAAGAGGAAUAGAUCCACCAGAAAUGUAGAUACCGAAAAGGCCAUUUAUCAAGCCACCUUUUGCAAUGCAACCACACCUGGUUACUGCAGUUCUGACAUGGCCGAAGGUGCAAGUGUGACGAGAAGCCUCGGGAUUAGUUCAGGGUCCCCCUGCAGUUCUCAGAGCCGCACAGACAUGGGAUCUUUACAUCCUCGAUCGGAAACUUGUAGUCAUGGACUAUAUGUUAUACACCCAAGAGGAUACAGUUUGACAUCUGGGAACCAUCAAGGCCUUAAAGACUUACAGGAGGGGAUUUUUCUUUUCAAAAAGUGAUCCACUUGUCAAGGAUGUAGAGGCAAGCAACGGUCCAUUGCCAUU